UACGGGGGGGGCAAGCGUUGUUCGGAAUUACUGGGCGUAAAGGGCGCGUAGGCGGCCCGCUAAGUCGAACGUGAAAUCCCCGAGCUCAACUCGGGAACUGCGUCCGAUACUGGCGGGCUUGAAUCCGGGAGAGGGAUGCGGAAUUCCAGGUGUAGCGGUGAAAUGCGUAGAUAUCUGGAGGAACACCGGUGGCGAAGGCGGCAUCCUGGACCGGCAUUGACGCUGAGGAGCGAAAGCCAGGGGAGCAAACGGG
rnacentral:rRNA from 1 species